UAAAAACUUUCCUCCUCCCGACUGGAAUAAAUCAAGUGGUGCGUUGUGAGAGUGCGCUGGGUAGCAUCUGCCCUGAGGAUGAACAGAUGUAGGCACCUGUGUUUAGGGGCCACACAUCCCCCAUCCUCCUUUUCUUCUCUCUCUCCUCCCUUUUAACCUCCUCAAUCCUCUUCAGAAGGGCCCACAAAAGGGGUAAAAGAGGAGGAGGGGGGCGGUAACUAUACCCCCUCUAACUCUACACUUCCAUCACCCCCUCACGAACACAUUCCCCGAGGACACGUUCUCUAUGCGAGCCUUUGUCACGAGCGCUGUCUUCCAAACAGGCCCAAAGAAUCAGAUGAAUCCUCUCUUACGCCGCGGUCUCUCAGGGACACGCAGGGGUCCUGAAGGUGAGGGUCUUUCUCAGCGCAUCAUCCGUCUCUUCCUCCACUGUUCCGCUGUUUUUCUCUCGCUUUCCUGCAUUCUGUCACUCGUGUGCCCUCUCUGUCGAGGUCUUAGACCCCUGCCCUGUGAGUCCUGCCUCAGGGGAGAGGGGCUUUUGUGUGCCGAUGCCCCCGCAAGCUGGACAGACAGCUGCUGUGGAGUGGUCAUCUUCACACAUGCACACACACGCACAAAGCUCAAAGGUGUCUG